CGGUAAUUCCAUGCUCCAAUAGCGUAUACUAAAGUUGUUGCAGUUAAAAAGCUCGUAGUUGGAUUUCUGCGGGGACGGAGCGGCCGGUCGCAACUUGCGACUCGAGCUAGCGCUUUCCCCGCAUCCUGCUGCGAACCGUGCUACCAUUAGUUUGGUGGCGCUGGGGAUCGGCUCGAUUACUUUGAGAAAAAUAGAGUGUUCAAAGCAGGCCACACGCCUUGAAUAAGUUAGCAUGGAAUAAUGACUAAGGACUUUGGUUCUUUUCGUUGGUGUUCGGGACUGAAGUAAUGAUUGAUAGGGACAGUUGGGGCGGUCCGUAUUCCAAAGCGAGAGGUGAAAUUCUUAGACCUUCGGAAGACGAACAGCUGCGAAAGCGUUCCGCAAGGAUGUUCCCUUUGAUCAAGAACGAAAGUUGGGGGAUCGAAGACGAUCAGAUACCGUCGUAGUCGCAACUAUAAACUAUACCAGCUAGGGAUCGGCCAACGUUUAAUUAUUCGACUUGGUCGGCACCUUAUGAGAAAUCAGAGCAUCUGGGUUCCGGGGGGAGUAUGGUCGCAAGGCUGAAACUUAAAGGAAUUGACGGAAGGGCACCACCAGCCGUGGAGCCUGUGGCUUAAUUUGACUCAACACGGGAAAACUUACCAGGUCCGGACAUAGUAAGGAUUGACAGAUUGAUAGCUCUUUCUUGAUUCUGUGGGUGGUGGUGCAUGGCCGUUUUUAGUCGGUGGAUGUGAUCUGUCUGCUUAAUUGCGUUAACGGACGAGACCCCAGCCUGCUAAAUAGCGCGGCCGAGCUUUGCUCGGUGCGAGCUUCUUAGAGGGACCAUGAUGCGCGAUAGCACAAGGAAGUUUGGGGCAACAACAGGUCUGUGAUGCCCUUAGAUGUUCUGGGCCGCACACGGGCUACACUGGCGCCUGCAACGAGCAUAUCAGCUGGCCCGAGAGGGUCUUGGCUAAUCUUUGGAACCGGCGCCGUGCUUGGGAUUGACCAUUGCAAUUGUUGGUCACGCAACGAGGAAUGCCUUGUAAACGCGAGUCAUCAGCUCGCAUUGAAUACGUCCCUGCCCUUUGUACACACCGCCCGUCGCUCCUACCGAUGAAUGUUCCGAUGAAAUUUUCGGAGAGCACCAGAGAACGGGGCUCUGCCUUGCAGAUCUGGAGGCUCAAAGUCACUUAAAUCUGAACAUUUCGAGGAAGGAGAAGUCGUAACAAGGUAACC
rnacentral:rRNA from 1 species